UGGGGAAUAUUGGACAAUGGGCGCAAGCCUGAUCCAGCCAUGCCGCGUGAGUGAUGAAGGCCUUAGGGUUGUAAAGCUCUUUUAGCAGGGAAGAUAAUGACGGUACCUGCAGAAAAAGCCCCGGCUAACUUCGUGCCAGCAGCCGCGGUAAUACGAAGGGGGCUAGCGUUGCUCGGAAUUACUGGGCGUAAAGCGCACGUAGGCGGCUUCUUAAGUCGGUGGUGAAAUCCUGGAGCUCAACUCCAGAACUGCCUUCGAUACUGGGAAGCUCGAGUUCGGGAGAGGUGAGUGGAACUGCGAGUGUAGAGGUGAAAUUCGUAGAUAUUCGCAAGAACACCAGUGGCGAAGGCGGCUCACUGGCCCGAUACUGACGCUGAGGUGCGAAAGCGUGGGGAGCAAACAGG
rnacentral:rRNA from 1 species